UAUGGUCGGCUCCUCUCAAAUGAAUCAGCUUGCCAGUGUUUGGUGGCAUCACGGGUGUGCUAACUAUCUACGCUUGUGGUUUUGCGCCAGAUAACCUUCAGCGAUGGAGGCCCACUGGAGCUAAUAAAUGUCUCUCCUCAGUGAGGACAGCUCUUUGAAUGUUUGAUCUCAAAUCAGGUAGGACUACCCGCUGAACUUAA
rnacentral:misc_RNA from 1 species